UACGAAGGGGGCUAGCGUUGCUCGGAAUUACUGGGCGUAAAGGGCGCGUAGGCGGCCUUCUAAGUCGGCCGUGAAAUCCCUGGGCUCAACCCAGGAACUGCGUCCGAUACUGGGAGGCUUGAAUCCGGGAGAGGGAUGUGGAAUUCCAGGUGUAGCGGUGAAAUGCGUAGAUAUCUGGAGGAACACCGGUGGCGAAGGCGGCAGCCUGGACCGGUAUUGACGCUGAUGCGCGAAAGCCAGGGGAGCAAACGGG
rnacentral:rRNA from 1 species